AGAUCGAAUGAAACUUGAGACGGAUGAAUCGUUAUCAAAUCUGUUUCGAUUAAAUAGAAAUUUAGUUUCAGUCAUGUGACUGCGGCCAUGCUGGAGCACCGCUUUUUAAAUCGAGCAAAUCGACCCAAGGAGUUAUUCUUUGUAAGCCUAUUAAUAUUCUGUCGUCUCUUUUGCCGAACUGCUAUGUUACGGGGAGUACACACACCAGAAACUAUUGUCUGAGCCACUUCUCAGACGUUCUUACAACUUUGGUUGUCGUAAUACUUUGCCUUCAUUUGUUUAAUAAAAAAUUCUUCCUCCUAA